rnacentral:lncRNA from 1 species
CUUUUCCUCCAUAAACCUGAACUUUCCUGAAGGCCCUCUUGUCUGUAAAUAUCUGCCCGAGUCUGUGUUUUCCAGGCACCACGACCAAAAGGGAUUGGAUCUGGUUCACAGGAUCCUGCUGGUUCCACUGGGGUCUAUCUGCCUAUUAUCCAGUUCACAGGUGAGUAAGGCUUCUCCUAAAUCCCUUGGCAUAUGGUGCUAGAUAACGCAGGCUCCCACGGAAGCACUUUCAUUCCUGGAUAGAUGCCCAAUUUUAGAUGUUGAGAGAGGGCAAAUGAGGAAUGUCUUACGCUGCUAUGAUGUUGCUCCGUUAACUUUUAUGAUUUAAAUUGAUUUUCUUAAUUUCAUAUUUGUUGGCUGACCAAACGUCUAUCACACGAAUUUCUACCUUUGCCAGAAGAAGAAUUUAGCCACAUUUACAAUAUAUAUUAUCUAUCUAUCUAUCUAUCUAUCUAUAUAUUUAGGUCACAAUAAUUUCAAUUGUAGCUCAGCUUUAGUUCUUACUUCAUCCUUAGUUUUAAUCAUCCGUUAGUUGGCUGGGCUUAUUCAUCAAGUUGUUUAUUUUUCGAACGAUAUAUGCUAUAUUUAUCAUAUUCAAUAAGUUCUUAAUGUUAAGUUUUGGUUUUAAUUUGCAUGACAACUCGAUGGAUAUAAGAACUUGCCUCUUUCGCUGUUUUUCUCAGACAGUGUAGACAUUAUUCUUCUAUUUCCCGCCAUCGAUGGGCCUGUGGCAAAGUCCAGGGUGGGGUUCACAUUCUGCAUUGUAAGCAACAGACUUUUUCUUUGUACCGAAAAAUAAGAAACUUUACCCAGACUGCUUUGUUUAUUUAUUCAAUGCUCAGAUUUAGUUGUCUUCUUAUUUCAAUGAAGUUUUCUUCUACUAAUGCUUAGCUGUUUUCCAUUGUGGGCUAGUCUUCAGGAACACCGAUUCUAUGCAUGUCAGAACUGCUCACUCUUUCUUAACAACCAUUUUCUCAUUGCUUUGACUUGGUUCACAGAGUCACUUUGACAUCAUGAUAUCUCUAACGUAGUUUUGAGAUAUCAGAAGGCAUUCUUAUCUUUCUGAUAAAAAUAUCAGAGGUAUUUUUCACCUCCCUUUUCUGUGCUGACUGCCUCCAGCUCAUGUUUCGUCUCUCUGUUAUGUCUUUACCCUUUCCAUUUUACCUGUUAGAGGAGUUCUUUUUCCAGCGUGAGUCGUCCAUAAUUUCUUCAAGUAUGAAAAAGUAUUUCUAUGCAAUUACCUAAUUUCUCCCGAAACAUGGAUUCUCAUACAAAGUGUUCACCUGCUUUUCUAUGCUAAUUUUAGUGGGGACAACAAUAAAACAACGUGGAGAGGGUGUCUAUGCAUGGAUCCCCUGGAACUUCUUUCUGGACAUUGUUCGUGUUGUAUGGGGCAGCUUUUCAAGCCAGUCAUUUGUUCAAAGAUAGUUUUGGAAGGGAUGGGUAUAAUAAUAUAGAUGAUCCGGAAAUUUCCAAUUUUAUACCAGGGAUGGUAUGAAACCAUCAAAAGAUUUUAGCAAAGAGGGAAAUCAUAUAGACACACAUUAAGAACAAUGCAAGCAGGGGCGCCUGGGUGGCGCAGUCGGUUAAGCGUCCGACUUCAGCCAGGUCACGAUCUCGCACUCCGUGAGUUCGAGCCCCGCGUCAGGCUCUGGGCUGAUGGCUCAGAGCCUGUUUCUGAUUCUGUGUCUCCCUCUCUCUCUGCCCCUCCCCCGUUCGUGCUCUGUCUCUCUCUGUCCCAAAAAUAAAUAAACGUUGAAAAAAAAAAUUUAAGAACAAUGCAAGCAGAAUUUGUGUGGAAUAGAGAAGGAAAAAACAUAUAAAUAAAUAUGAUACCAUUUUGAAACAACUGAUAGGGGAAAAAAAUCCAUUGUUUAUCUCUAAAUACCUAUGGAGAGCUCUUAAAAUCAACUCAUUUUCCAAACUUUUCAACCACCCCCCACCAUUUUCUGAUGGUAUUCAAAUGGUCUUCACCUCCAGAACCCUGAGUGAAUUCUUUUAUUUUAUUCCAACUAGUUAUUUCAUUGAGAUAUAGUGGACAUACCCAAGUGAUUUCUUUAACACUUAAUAUCUCAUUUAUGAGAAAAGUAUUUUAAGUAUUAAUAAUAAUACUAUUCGAAUUUGGAAACUUUGGCAGUCCAUAACCUACAUUUAAUCCUCUCCUAACCCACUUCACAUUUUCUAUUUCUUGACUCAUCUUUGAUGGGUUUUUUGGUUUCGUUGUUGUUUAACAAAUCACCUCCAAAAUUUAGCCUCUUAAAACAACAAACAUUGAUUAUAUUGCAGUCUUUCUAGAUCAAGAAUCUGAAUGUCCCUCAGUGAGAUGCUCUGCCUGAGAGUUUCCCAAGAUGUUGGACAGGGAGACAGGCAUGUCAGGGUUCAACUGGAGGACGUUCUGUUUCCAACCUCACUCACAUGGCUGCUAGCUGGCUUCCGAUCUUCAAUGCCUUUUGGCUGUAGAUAUCAGUUGUUUGACAUGUGGAUCUCUCCAUAGGGUCCUAAGGAAUAAAGAGGAAGAAAGUUUAUGGGACACAGAAUUCAGUUUUUUGUAGCCUAAUGUCAAAAGUGACAUUCCAUCAUUUUGUUGUAUUCUAUGCAUUAGAAGUUAGUUACCAGGUCCAGCCCGUGCUCCUGCGUGCAAAAUACAUUCAUCCUCCCAAAAGCCCCAAACAUCUAAUCCCACUAAAAUAUCAGCUCCUAGUGUGGAAUCUUACCAGAUAAAUCAGGUUCAUAGGUGGAUGCUUCUUUGGACAUCGUUCUUUAAGUACAGUUUCUCUAGGUAUACAGAUCUGAGAAAUUAAGGAGACAAGCUUCUUAUAACAAAAUGUACACUGUCAUACGAUGAGGAGAAAUGGAUUUUUGUCCACACUGUUUAUCUUUGGGUCUUUAAGGUCUCAAAAAUUUUAAGAUCCUCGACCUCUUGCCAAUUGUUUUCUAGAAAGGUUGUGUCAAUUAAAUUCCAUGCUGAUUAAGCAUAACAGUGCCACUUCUCAUUCUUAACAUCCCCAAGAACUUUCCUUUCAUUUCUCUAAUAUUUGCCAGUUUAAUAGGUGAAAAUGGUACUCACUUAUUUGGUACUUUAUUCUAGUCAUUUUGUUGUCAUAGGGAUCAUUCAUUCAUACUUCUAGCUUGAAUGUACCUUAGUAGAGUGUAAAGGAUUAAACCCAGUUGUAGUUCGGACCCACAGAACUGUGCCUGACUUAGGUUUCACUUAGUAGUUGCAACAUACUAGGUCUUUCAACUGUCAGUUUGUAUAAACCCUAGAAUCACAUUGCGAGGAUUCACGCCCUCCCUUUCCUGUUUACUUAUUUUGUUGCCUUGGACAAGAUAUAGUAAUCUUUUCAGACCUAUUUCUUAGUACGAUGAGGAGAUUUCUUAGUACAACCAGUACAAUCGGGAGAUAAGGAUGCUUUGUGGAGACUGAGACCACAUGUGUAAUGGGUUUAAGAAAGUUUCUGGGGGGCGCCUGGGGGGCUCGGUCGGUUGAGCGUCCGACUUCGGCUCAGGUCAUGAUCUCAGUUCGUGGGUUCGAGCCCCGCGUCGGGCUCUGUGCUGACGGCUCGGAGCCUGGAGCCUGCUUCGGAUUCUGUGUCUCCCUCUCUCUCUGCCCCUUCCCCGUUCAUGCUCUGUCUCUCUCUCUCAAAAAUGAAUAAACGUUAAAAAAAAAUUAAAAAAAAAAACAAAGUUUCUGGCUGGUGGUAGGCUCACUCCUCUGUUGGCCUAAUAUAUGUUGCCUAUGCUAAGUUACAGUCUCUACAAAAAUAAACACACACACACACACACAAGUUAUCCAUAAAAGUAUAUAUAACAUCCUUUGAUCAUUCAAAAAAAGUCAUGGAAAAGGGUGUUAUUGUUAUCUUUUAAGUAAUUUGUGAAGUAGGGAGGAAAGUCAUUGUGUAUAUCGGAUUUUUAAUCUGCAAAGGCUCCUUUGCAGUUUUGCACAGGAAGCACUAAACUUUAUCACAGGGUAUAGCCCUGAUCUGCACAGUCAACAACACAGUUAUUGGUGCAUCAAAUUAAAUAAUGUGGAUUUAGGCACUUGGCAGGUAGCUUUAACUUUCUUACUUCGGUAUACAACUAUGUAAAACUCAGGUACAAGGAGGGAUGUAGAUUACUUACCUAACAAAGAUUUCAGAGUCUGUUUCAGACUUCGUUAAAGCCCAAGAAGUUUUUCUCUUUAAAACUACACUUCUUUCUGAGCCUGGCAAUGGGGAAAGAGGGAAAGAGCAACUGAAUGGUUUUGAAGGUGACGGAGACAGACGUGGGAAGCGACUUUCUCACUGGGUGAGGAGUCUAUAAGGAAAGUGAGUUAAGGGAGGAGGGAUGGUUGGCGGUUAUGGGUGCUCCCCCCCUGCCUCUGGGCUAUCUGGGACGCGCAUAAAGGGAAAUUUACUUCAAGAGUAUGUGGAAGGAAUUAGAGGUUUAUGGAAUGGCAUUCGUGGUGUUAAGAACAAAACAACAGGUCCAAAAUGGAGUCACUUGUGUUAAGCUCCACAUUACCGAAAAGACUUAAUUAUAAUUUCAGCUUUCCCAGAAAUGGCAUCUUAAGCCAGGCAAUCAGAAAUCGCCUGAUCAGUGCUAGCGAGGUUAUUUGCCCGAUAGACCCCUGCGAUCCCCUAAAGGAAGGUACCUUUGUGAAGAUCGACCUUUUUUUCUAACACAACUUGCUCGAUGCUACUCCCUUCUUUUAUCUUGUAGAGUCUUUCAUUUUGUAAAACUCUUCAAAGCUUCCUUCCGUCUGCUAGACCGGAUGCUGCUGACUCGAAUCCAUUUUUGUUCAAAUAAACCUUCAGCAUUUUAAAUAUGUUUCAGUUUACCUUUCAACAAUGGGGUGAUAUCUCCAGGGAGCCGGUCAUAGGAGGAGGUCGGAGUUUUAGAGGUCAGGGUAUGUCCACUUACCAACCUACGUCCACAUAGUAACAGAUGAAAAUAAGUUCCCAUAUGCCAACUUUCCCCUCCCUUCCCAUUUUCCCCUCUUACUGACAUCUUGCAUUAGCGUGGUGCAUUUGUUGCCAAAAAAAUCCAUACUUUCCAUUAAGGCUGUCUCUAUUUAUAUAUUCUCUGUGUUUUGACAAAUCUAUAAGAACAUGUCCAGCAUUACAGUAUCAGACAGAAUAGUUUCACUGCCCUGAAAAUCCCGUGGGCUCUGCCUCUUUAUCCCUCCCUUCUCUUACCCCUCAGCCUUGUGAAUUACAGAUCUUUUCACUGUCUCCAUAGUUCUGCCUUUUCCAGGAUGCCAAAUUGUUGGGGUUUUCUAGUAUGUAGCCUUGUCAGAUCGUCUUCUUUCACUUAGCAACAUGCAUUACAGUUUCUUUUAGGUCUUUUCUUGACCUAAGGACUGCCACCCCCCCCCCCCACUCCUUACUUAAGUCCCUAGAUAAUAUGCCAUUGUUUGUAUGUUCCACACUGCUUAUCCAUCCAUCUAUUGACAGACAUGGCGGCUGUGGGACAGACAGACAGACAAGCUGCUACAAACAAGCUUGGGCAGGGGCGCCUGGGUGGCUCAGUCCGUUAAGCGUCCGACUUCAGCUCACGUCACGAUCUCGCGGUCCGGGAGUUCGAGCCCCGCGUCAGGCUCUGGGCUGAUGGCUCGGAGCCUGGAGCCUGCUUCCGAUUCUGUGUCUCCCUCUCUCUCUGCCCCUCCCCCGUUCAUGCUCUGUCUCUCUCUGUCUCAAAAAUAAAUAAAACGUUAAAAAAAAAAAUUUCAAACAAGCUUGGGCAGGUAUUUCAUGGACAUCGGUUUUCAACUCCAUUUUCAGCUCAUUUGUGAAAUGCCCAGAGAAUGAAACUCACUUGUGAAAUGCCGAGGUCUGGAUCCUAAGAUAAGCAUAUUUAGUUUCUUAAGAAACUGCUGCCUUUCACAGUCGAGUGCUUUGUUAUUAUCAUCACCUGCUGAAACUUCUAAAAUGUAUCAGAAAUUGAAACAGUCCACGGAGGGGAAAAAUGUUGAAACUAAGACCGAUUUCCUCAGUUACUGUCUUGUUUUAAUAGAAACACGUGUCAUUGCUGCUCCAACUGGACAAAUCUCACUGUGGACCAUCGUCGGCUUUGAAAUCUAAUCCGCGCCCAAGAAAAUCCAAGAGAGGGUGAUGGGGACAGACUUAACCCAAAGAGGCAGAGCCCUGUCGCCAUCUUUGCUAGGCCAGGCCACGCCCACGAUGUCGAGUCCGGAGCAGACUUUUCCCCUGCAGUGAGUGGCGCAGCAGGGCAUGGCAGGGGCCCUGGGAGGAGCUCCGUCCUCACUAAGGACAAGGGUAAAGGCGUCCCCACAGUUGUCCACCAGGACCCCAAACAGCAGGUCGAGCGGCCCAGCUGAGUGUGGCAAGGAGCCAGUGAACCACUUUGGCUUCCUGUUUACAGGCUUGCGCGGCUCCUUUCUUCCUCUUUGUCUAUUUCAAAACUCGUGGCAGCGAAUAGAAACACAAGGAGGUGAAACUGAGAGUAAGAACCAGACCAGGUGGCGGUCAGGCCCUGUUCGUGGUUUGGGCGGCUGCCGGCGCCACCUGGCACGGCACUGGACAGGCCUGUACGGCCUAGAAGCUGGGGCGCGGAGCGCAGGGCUUCUGCAGACGCCAAGGCAAGGCCUGCCGAGGUGGGCAGCCCUAAGACUCCUCCGUCCCCACUUUUCCUCUUUCUCCGGAGUUCCCAGAUUGUGAAGGAGGAACCAGCGCCGGGAGCCAAAAAAGGCGGAAGAAGAAAAGGCCACCCGGGUUUCACCCAGGCUGUGACCUCCGAGGGCCUUCCUAGCCUGGUGAACAUGCCCUGGCCAGGCCACUUGAAAAAAAUCUGACCUAAGACCCCCACCCCAGACGUCCUGAGCCCCCGACCUAUUCUGUUCGUCAGAGUUUGCAGAACUUAGGGGCGGGGGGGGGGGGGGGGGGGGGGGCAGUAAUGGAGUCCCUGGGACAGACCCCCAUGGGCUGAGGCAUAAGGACUUUUGGAAAGGCCGCAGGGGGAAACAAGUGUUUAGUGUUCCAGUUCAGGGUCCCUGCCCUUCCUAUUUCUCAAUAUCGUCCUCCCCCCACUCGUCCCCAACUCCUUGGCCUUCCUGGGUGGAAAAUCUGUGAAAGCCGCUCCUCUCAAGAAGCGUUGGUAUUUUAAGUGGAAGGUAGAGAUCCACUUGGAACUGGUCCCUGUCUCCUUCUCCACCCUAACUUUUGGGGGGAGACUUGUUUUUAAAGUGGGUCUUGGGAGCCUGGGUGGCUCAGUCGGUUAAGCGUCGGACUUCAGCCAGGUCACGAUCUCGCGGUCCGGGAGUUCGAGCCCCGCGUCGGGCCAUGUGCUGACAGCUCAGAGCCUGGAGCCUGUUUCAGAUUCUGUGUCUCCCUCUCUCUGACCCUCCCCCGUUCAUGCUCUGUCUCUCUCUGUCUCAAAAAUAAAUAGACAUUAAAAAAUAAAAAUAAAAAAAUAAAGUGGGUCUGGGUGUCCUCAAGCCCCUCGUGGCAGAGCAGGGGUGUGUUAAAAAAAAAAAGGUUCCUUUAUCAGGCAGCUUAUCUGUGCCACUGUUUUCCUAACGUAUUGCUCUUGGCUUUACCAUGGUUUUCAGGGUACCAGAUAAUCAUGACCUUUUGAGAUAUCCUUCUCUUGACUAGACACCACCCACCUUGCCUGGCUCAUUCUGGAAAAUCUGUCCAGACCUCUCCUGCAGAUGUCAAAGGUGCUUGCCCUCCUCCUCCCCCCCCCACCUUCAGAGUAUGCAAAACUUUCCUUUCUCAAGCCACAACAGUAAACAUUCUACAAAUAUUUGGUGAUUGGAUAAGAAAUGACCAGUUGCAACUUGCUUUUAAAUCCUUUUUAGCGACUCUGUGCCUUUUGAUUGGAGAAUUAAUUACUGAUAAGUAAGGGCUUGCUAACACCAUCCUGCUGUUUUCUGACUGUUUUUGGAGUUCUGUGUUCCUUUCUUUGUCUUUCGUUGGCUUUCUUUGUAGGUGCUUGAUUUUCUCUAGGGGUAUGCAGUGGAUUUGGUCUGUUUAUGCUUGAUGAAUUUACCGUGGGUUUGGGUCUGUGGUUACCAUGAGGGUUACAUAACAUGUGUUGCAGAUAAAACAGAGCGUUUUAUGCUGAAAACUUGGCUCGCUCACAAAAACUUUACCCUUUUACUUACCCCUCAAUGAUUUGUGUUCUCAGUGUCAUAAUUUAUUUCUUUUUAUGAUGUGGGUCCAUGAAAACAGUCUCAUAACUAUAGUUAUUUCUUAACAGUUUUGCCCAUUAAGCCUUUAUGCUAAAGCCAUGGUUACAUAGCACCAUACUCCAGUAUUUGAAUAUUCUGCACUUGACUAUGUAUAUUUACUGUAUAUGUCUUUACCAGGAGGUUUUACAAUUUCAUGUUUUCUUGUUACUAAUUAGCAUCCUUUUGUUUCAUCCCGAGGAACUCUUUUUUCAGCAUUUCUUGUGAGGUAGGUCCAGUGGUGAUGAAUACCCCCAGUUCAUGAUGGUUUGGGAAAGUCUUUAUCUCUCCUUCAUUCCUGAAAGACAAAUUUGCCCUGUAAAGUAAUUUUGGUUUGCAGUUUUUUUCUUUUGCACUUUAAAUAUGUCAUCGCAGUCUCUCCUGGCUCGCAAGGUGUUUGCUGAGAAAUCUAAUAACGUUACGGGGGUUACUUUAUUUGUGAAAAACUCAUUUUCUCUUGCUCCUUUAAAGAUUCUCUCUUUGUGAUUUUAUGCCGUUUUGUUAUUUUGUGGUUUGGAGAAGAUUGUUUUAGGUUGAAAGUGUGGGGUGACUUAAUAGCUUCGUGAACUUGGAUAUCUAAAUUCCUCCCCAUAUUUGGGAAGUUCUCAGAUGUUCUUUCUUUAAACAAACUUUCUGGGGUGCCUGGGUGGCUCAGUCGGUUAAGCGUCCGACUUCGGCUCAGGUCAUGAUCUCACGGUCCGUGAGUUCGAGCCCCGUGUCGGGCUCUGUGCUGACAGCCCAGAGCCUGGAGCUUGUUUCAGAUUCUGUGUCUCCCUCUCUCUCUGACCUUCCCCUGUUCAUGCGCUGUCUCUCUCUGUCUCAAAAAUAAAUAAACAUUAAAAAAAAAUUAAAAAAAAUAAAAAUUAAAAAAAAAUAAACAAACUUUCUGUUCCUUUUGCCCACUCUUCUCCUUUGGAGGGUCCGGCAAUGCACAGAUUAUUUCUUUGCAUGAUAUCCUAUAAUUCAUAUAGGCUUUCUUCACUCUUUUUUUCAUUUUGCUUUUCUGGCCAUAUGAUUUUAAUAGACCUGUAUUGUCUUCACUACUCCUGCUUGUUGCAGUCUCCUGUUGAAGCUCUCUUUGAGUUCUUUAGUGCAGGCAUUGUAGUCUUGGACUCUAGGAUUUCUGCUUGACUUAUUAUAAUGUUUUCUGUUCCUUUGUUGAACAUCUCGUUUUGUCUAUGCAUUGUUUUUUGAAUUUUCUUUCGUUGUCUAUCUGUGUUUUCUUAGAGUUCACUGGAUUUCUUUAGGAGGAUUCUUCUGAAUUCCUCGUCAGACAGUCCAUAGAUCUCCAUUUAUUUAGGGUCCAUCAUUGAAAUUUUAUCAGUUUCCUUUGGAGAUGGUGUCAUGUUUCCUUGCUUAUUCAUGAUUACUGUGGCCUUGUAUUGGUGUCUGUACAUUUGAGGAUAUAGGCACCUCUCCAGUCUUCACAAACUAGUGUUGGAAGGCCAGCCUUUCACUACUCAGCUUGUCCAGAGAUUCGGGUGGGCAGUCUAGUGUUAUCCAGGGGUGGGCUUGUUAUUGGAGUCCUUGGGUGACCUGAUGCUGAAAAUGGUUGUAUGUCUGGACCAGCUGUAUUCACCCUGAUGUUGAGCCCUAGUGGGACCUUGGGUUCAUAGGUGUUGCUCCCAUGGAGCUAGGGUUUGUGGGUAUUGAUUGGGAGCCUGAGUUCAUAGGAGUCACCCAGAGCCAUGGGAGCCAGCUGGAGCUACCUGGGGCCAUAGGAGCCUGGUAGGUGAUGGAGUGGAUCAGGGGCUCGAACUCAUGAGAACAGUGAAAGAUACCUGGAGUUAUGGGGGCUCCCUGUGGCCACUGAGCCACUAGGGGCUACUGGAGCUAGCUGGCAUAAAGGUGGGCCAGGAGCCUCAUUUCCCAGGGGCCCUCUGUGAGGCCGGGGCCAGUGAAGCUGCCUAGAGCGUGUGGCCUGCCUGGGGUCACUGGAACUGGAAGGUUCCAGAGUGAACCAGGGUCUGUUCUCAUGGGAGCGUUGUAGAACCUGGUGCCACGGGAGCUGCCUAGGGCCACGGGUGCUUCCCUGCCUGAGUCAAGGAUUCUGCGUGGGGCUGCUGGAGCCACACGGGGAUGCUGGGGCUGCCAGAUUCCCGGAUGCAAUGAGGGGCCUGGAUUCUUGGGAGCCUGCAGGGAACCCUGCCUUGGCAGCUGUCUGGAGCCGUGGAUGGUGUCUGGGACCUCUGGAUCAGGCAGGUGCUGGAUGAGCUGGUUUCAUGACUCGUGGGAGCCUGCAGGGGAGUCACAGGAGUGGCUUUGGGGCCACUGGAGACAGCAGGUGCCUGGAUGAAAUGACGCCUGGGUUUCCGGGACCCUGCCCGGAUCCUGGUCACUGGAGCUGGCUGGCACUGGUGGGGAGGAGGCCCUAGGUUAGUGGGAACCUGCAGGGAGCCACUUAGACCUUCUGUGACUCAAGCUGCCAUGGUUCAGUUUGAAACCCUGGAAGAACUGGUAAAAAAUGGUUUUGGAUCAUGCUGUUUGUUGAAUACUUCGCCCUCUGAGAGGGGUAGACUGCAUAGGAUUAAAGCUGAAGGAUAAGGAAGAACCCUAUCCCAGCAGACUUGGGGGCCUGGGUGCAUAUUAGUACCUAACAUUUAUUGUGUUCUCUUCCUGGAACCCUGUGAGAUAUUUUAGAUCAACUCUUUCAUGUAAUCUGCAUAAUUAGCCUACAAGACUAGCUCUGUCGCUCCCACUGUAUGAAGAAGUAUGGUGAUCCUAUAGUUUGUCAUCUAAAUAUCAUCUUAAUCAUCUUCAUUUAAGAAGUGAAAAUGACCAGAGGGUUCUGUAGCACAACAGGCAUAAACUGGGACUUCCCUGAGCUGGGAUUUUUGGUCAGUUUCACAAAAGUAAGCUGGAAUCAGAGACAUUGAAUGAGUUAAGCUCGAAAUUGGGAAGUCAAACCCCAAAGUCCGUGCUUCUCCUUAUUACCAUGCUACCACCCAGAAAGAGAGAAGGCUGUAGAGAAGAGAGAACCAAGAGCAAUGUGACAGAAAGAUAACACACGUACUUACUUCCUGUAAGUAGAAUUUCCUUUUAGAAUAGAAUUUCCUGUAAAGAUAAAAAACCCUUCUGACCUUCAGAUAGGCCUUAGCAGAGAAUCAUCCCAUCACACUUGGAAAUGUACAGACAACACUGAAUAUAGUGUCUGGUAUAUUUUGAGCUUUCUUUUCUUUCUACUGGGAUUAUGUAUGGCUCACGCGUGGGCAUUGUAUUUAUGGGAAAAAUUUAACCUCAUGGAACACGUAUUGCACAAUGGGAUAAGAUAUAUAAAUUCUUUUUGUGCUCUUCCAUUUAUUAAAUUAUUUUGAUAACCAAUGAGAAAAAUUACAAACUGGCCUGUGACUGGCCUUUAAAAAGUGUUAACACAUUCAAAAUUCUCUCAUUGUCACUUACAAUUAUAUAGGAGAAUUUGAAAAGUGCUGAAACUCUUUACUUUGUUCUCUGUAUGUUAAAAACUUAGAAACACUGAAAAGUGCUUUUUGCACUUUAAUUCUUGGUGUUUAUGUCUUAAAUUACAGGGUGCUACAUAAAUAUUAUACCUAUAAACCAAUAGCGCUCUUUAUUUUACCCUUUCUUGGCUUUAAAAUUCUGCUUUUAUCCCAGAUUAAAUCACACAGAGUUAAUUUCUGGAACGCUUUAAGCACUCAGCACCCGAUGUCAAGGCUGUUUCUAUACUAUUGAGUUUUAAAAAACAAAAUGUUAAAAAUCCUUAUAGCGUUAGCUACACGGGACUGAUGAAUCCCCAAAAGAACAACUAGGAAUUGACACUGCAAUUUUCCCUUAUUCCAUUUCUCCUCCUUUGUUGGUGUAUCUGUCAAUUUCUUCUUGUAAUUCCAUGAAAUUCUUAUUAUAUAUCCUUUAAGGCUAUGUUAUUAGCUGCAUGCAAAUAAAUUUCAUUCAGGGAUUAAAUCUUUUUUUCCAGUGAGUAGUAACUUUAUUUCACCCUGAAUAUGAUGCUUUUUGCCAUACAAUCUGUUAUAGCUCAGGGUUUCCAAGAGGCACAAACUCCCAUCUAGUUCACGUCUGUAUCCUCGGAGACUGGCAGUGUGUCUCAGAUAUAGCACAUGUUCGAAACGGGUCUGUGGACAUGCCUUCAUUAUUAUAAGACUCCGUCUUACUUGCGUGGUUUCUGUGAACUUUUUGACGAAGACGGGUAAAUUUCUCCAGACGUCUGGAGAGUAAAAAACAGAACAAAGCAAAAAACCCCAAGACUACGUUGACAAACUGUGUGUGACUGACUCACAGAUGAAAUUUGAGUCAAAGCGUGGCCCUAACCUGGUGUUCUUUUACAAACUAGGUUCCGAGGCAUAUAUCUAAAGCAUGGAUUCCAUUUCUCAACCGGCUGUGACCUUGAUCCAUGACCAAGCCCCUUGAGCAGAAUUUUUUCAUAUGAACAGUAAGUAUAAGGAGCAGUUUCACUGCCUAGUGACAAGGUUCAAAUGAGAUAACAUAAAAGUCUUUGCCAGCAUGUGAAGCUCAUAGUAAAUGUUAAAAUAUGUUGUUCUUCCAUUAUAGCUCUAUGGAAAUAAAAAUAAAGUACCAGCAAUAGCUCUGCUACCAGUGUGGGGAAUUCAAAGUGACGUUAAGUUCAUGGUCAGUCUUCUGCUCCUCCCAGCAGGAAGUCAGUGAGCUGUUUAAGUCAAUUGCUGAUACUUCUGUGGAAAUCAUGAUUAGUUGAAUUAAUUAUUCAAAGCGCAUGUGUGAAACAUGUCCUUAUGAGAACAAGCUUGCAAAAGUACACGGUUUAUAACAGAAAAAGUCUAGGUAAUUUGGGACUUACCCAGUUUCCUAAUUUAAAUACAUUCUGAUUCAUUCUUUACAUUGUGACCAGAGAGAUCCUUUCAAUACAGAUAGGAUCAGGUCACGUUCUUGCAUAAAAUCUUUCUAUAAUUCCUCCUCUGCUCUCAGUGUGCAACCCAAACUCCUAACAGUAGGUAAGGCCACAUGAUAGAAUUAUGUCACUGUUUCCUUUCCAUCUUUCAAAUGCCUGCGCCCCAUCUCCCCGACCUUGUUACCAAAAAAUAAAUAAAUAAAAGAAAUCGUACCCUAAAUACUUUUCCAGCUACCGGAUAGCUCCGGACUGGUAGAAGCGUUCCAGAAUGCGCAGUAGUCAAGCCAGAGCUCCGUGGUGUUCACGUCCACUGGAAAUGAGAACAGGAGUCGCCCACUAACGCACUGUCUCUUUAUUCUGUGGUUUCAGAGACCCUGGGUAAACUGUGGUCUGGAAGUAGACGAUUCUCCUGACAUAACAUCAGAAGGUCAGCAGUAGCCUAACACUCCAUCUCCCUGCCUGCCUACAUCAUUAACCUCAGUUCAUCUCAUCACAUAGGCAUUUUAUCGUCUCAACCAUCGCACGA